rnacentral:lncRNA from 1 species
CUGCUUCUUUGCUGAAUUUUUCCUAACUCACUUUCACAUUUUCUUCUAAGAACCCUCCCAUUGUUGUUUAACUCAUUCUUAGUGCCUGCUUUGUGCUUCUUAAUUCUACUUCACUCCUGGUCACUAUGUCAACUCACCACCAUUUCUAUUGUAUCCUCCUCGGGUUCUUUUAUCUCAUGGAGCAGAGGUUCCCGCUUCCACCAAUGGCUUCCUCAAUAAUGCAGAGAAGAACUCUUUUUGUCCAGGAGGGAGUAGGAAAGGGGUCCAUAUUUGUUGGUCAAUAUUUUUAUUAACAUCAUGGACAAAGUUUUGUUUCAGUUUUGAUUGCCUCGUUGCUUGAUUGCAGAGUUUCUACCCAAAGAAGACAGUAAGGGAGCUAUAACUGAGUGGUGGGACCAUUGUCUGCAAAUACUGAGGACUUUAAUGACUUUUUUAUAUAACAUGAUGUUUUCUUCCUGGAAAUUCAUCCUGCCUACGAUAUCUCAUUCUCAAUCAAUUCAUAAGUUUGAACCACGAUCCACACAGCCCCUGAAAACUCACGUUUCCUGUUGCAUUGGAGUUAAAGAAACUGAGAUGAAGAGCUGCUGUCAAUAGGAUGGAGUAAAUGUGAAAUUCAAGGCUUGUAAGAUCACAGAUGCGUUGUCAGAGAAGGAGCGAGCCUAGGGACUCUGGGACAGGACUCUGGAAGGAGCAGAUGUGAUCUUGACCGUAUUUCAUAGUGUGAGAGAGCCUUUCUCACCAAGGACCCUGCUGGAUGAUGACUAGUUAAUAACCAACAGAGGCAAGUAUGCAAUAAAGAAGCCAAAAGAUAAGUGACAGGCAUGCUGGCAGAGAGCAUAUGCUCUCUCAUGGAAGAGGGGAUUGGAAGCAUCUCAAAGAAACUAAAGGUGAUAAUACUAAUAAGUAUUUACUGAAAACUACUGAUUCUCAAGCAUGGUAUUAAAUGCUCACCCAGUGCUGUUGGCCUUUGCUUAACAUGAAAUAAAGAAGAUAUUAUUCCUG